GGAAGGCCCUUCGGGGUACUCGAGCGGCGAACGGGUGAGUAACACGUGAGCAACCUGCCCCUGACUCUGGGAUAAGCCCGGGAAACUGGGUCUAAUACCGGAUAUGACCACUCCAGGCAUCUGGUGGUGGUGGAAAGUUUUUUCGGUCGGGGAUGGGCUCGCGGCCUAUCAGCUUGUUGGUGGGGUAGUGGCCUACCAAGGCGACGACGGGUAGCCGGCCUGAGAGGGCGACCGGCCACACUGGGACUGAGACACGGCCCAGACUCCUACGGGAGGCAGCAGUGGGGAAUAUUGCGCAAUGGGCGGAAGCCUGACGCAGCGACGCCGCGUGGGGGAUGACGGCCUUCGGGUUGUAAACCUCUUUCAGCAGGGACGAAGUUGACGUGUACCUGCAGAAGAAGCGCCGGCUAACUACGUGCCAGCAGCCGCGGUAAUACGUAGGGCGCAAGCGUUGUCCGGAAUUAUUGGGCGUAAAGAGCUCGUAGGUGGCUGGUCGCGUCUGCCGUGAAAGCCCGCAGCUUAACUGCGGGUCUGCGGUGGAUACGGGCCGGCUAGAGGUAGGUAGGGGCAAGUGGAAUUCCUGGUGUAGCGGUGAAAUGCGCAGAUAUCAGGAGGAACACCGGUGGCGAAGGCGGCUUGCUGGGCCUUACCUGACGCUGAGGAGCGAAAGCGUGGGGAGCGAACAGGAUUAGAUACCCUGGUAGUCCACGCUGUAAACGUUGGGCGCUAGGUGUGGGACCCUUCCACGGGUUCCGUGCCGGAGCUAACGCA
rnacentral:rRNA from 1 species